rnacentral:rRNA from 1 species
UACAGAGGUGGCAAGCGUUGUUCGGAAUUACUGGGCGUAAAGGGCGCGUAGGCGGCCCGUCAAGUCCCGUGUGAAAGCCCCCGGCUCAACCGGGGAACGGCGCGGGAAACUAGCAGGCUUGAGUUCGGGAGAGGGAAGCGGAAUUCCGGGUGUAGCGGUGAAAUGCGCAGAUAUCCGGAGGAACACCGGUGGCGAAGGCGGCUUCCUGGACCGACACUGACGCUGAGGCGCGAAAGCUAGGGGAGCGAACGGG